UACGGAGGGUGCAAGCGUUAUCCGGAUUCACUGGGUUUAAAGGGUGCGUAGGCGGAUAUGUAAGUCCGUGGUGAAAUCUCUGGGCUUAACCCGGAAACUGCCAUGGAUACUAUGUGUCUCGAAUGUUGUUGAGGUGAGCGGAAUAUGUCAUGUAGCGGUGAAAUGCUUAGAUAUGACAUAGAACACCAAUUGCGAAGGCAGCUCACUAAGCAAAUAUUGACGCUGAGGCACGAAAGCGUGGGGAUCAAACAGG
rnacentral:rRNA from 1 species